rnacentral:rRNA from 1 species
ACAUCCAGAGAACUUAGCAGAGAUGCUUUGGUGCCUUCGGGAACUCUGAGACAGGUGCUGCAUGGCUGUCGUCAGCUCGUGUUGUGAAAUGUUGGGUUAAGUCCCGNAACGAGCGCAACCCCUAUCCUUUGUUGCCAGCGAUUCGGUCGGGAACUCAAAGGAGACUGCCGGUGAUAAACCGGAGGAAGGUGGGGAUGACGUCAAGUCAUCAUGGCCCUUACGAGUAGGGCUACACACGUACUACAAUGGUGCAUACAAAGAGAAGCGACCUCGCGAGAGCAAGCGGACCUCAUAAAGUGCGUCGUAGUCCGGAUUGGAGUCUGCAACUCGACUCCAUGAAGUCGGAAUCGCUAGUAAUCGUAGAUCAGAAUGCUACGGUGAAUACGUUCCCGGGCCUUGUACACACCGCCCGUCACACCAUGGGAGUGGGUUGCAAAAGAAGUAGAUAGCUUAACCUUCGGGAGGGCGUUUACCACUUUGUGAUUCAUGACUGGGGUGAAGUCGUAACAAGGUAAGCGUAGCGAG